UACGAGGGGGGGCGAGCGUUGUUCGGAAUUAUUGGGCGUAAAGGGUGCGUAGGCGGUUUGGUAAGUCUUGUGUGAAAUCUUCGGGCUCAACUCGAAGUCUACACGAGAAACUGCCGGGCUUGAGUAUGGGAGAGGUGAGUGGAAUUCCCGGUGUAGCGGUGGAAUGCGCAGAUAUCAGGAGGAACACCUAUAGCGAAGGCAGCUUGCUGGGACGAAACUGACGCUAAGGCUCGAAAGCGUGGGGAGCGAACAGG
rnacentral:rRNA from 1 species